rnacentral:rRNA from 1 species
GCGAGUCGAGUGUAGCAAUACAUGGCGUACUGCUCAGUAACACGUGGACAACCUACCCUCCGGACGGGUAUAAACCCGGGAAACUGGGUAUAAUCCCCGAUAGAUCUCGGUCGCUGGAAUGCCCCGAGAUCGAAAGCUCCGGCGCCAGAGGAUGGGUCUGCGGCCUAUCAGGUAGUAGUGGGUGUAGCGUACCUACUAGCCUACGACGGGUACGGGUUGUGAGAGCAAGAGCCCGGAGAUGGAUUCUGAGACACGAAUCCAGGCCCUACGGGGUGCAGCAGGCGCGAAAACUUUACAAUGCCGGCAACGGCGAUAAGGGGACCUCGAGUGCCAGGUUACAAAUCUGGCUGUCGUGAUGCCUAAAAAGCAUUGCAUAGCAAGGGCCGGGCAAGACCGGUGCCAGCCGCCGCGGUAACACCGGCGGCUCGAGUGGUAACCGUUAUUAUUGGGUCUAAAGGGUCUGUAGCCGGCCGGAUAAGUCUCUUGAGAAAUCCAGCAGCUCAACUGUUGGGCUUUCAGGAGAUACUGUUCGGCUCGAGGCCGGGAGAGGUGAGAGGUACUUCAGGGGUAGGGGUGAAAUCUUGUAAUCCUUGAAGGACCACCAGUGGCGAAGGCGUCUCACCAGAACGGACCUGACGGCAAGGGACGAAAGCUAGGGGCACGAACCGGAUUAGAUACCCGGGUAGUCCUAGCCGUAAACGAUACUCGCUAGGUGUCGGCCACGGUGCGACCGUUGUCGGUGCCGUAGGGAAGCCGUGAAGCGAGCCACCUGGGAAGUACGGCCGCAAGGCUGAAACUUAAAGGAAUUGGCGGGGGAGCACCAUAACGGGUGGAGC